rnacentral:rRNA from 1 species
AGAUACGGCCAUAUCUACUGAAACACGGAACCAUCAGACUCCGAGUUAACCAGUAUGAGCUAAUCAGUACUAGAGGAGACACUUGGACGUUGGUGCUGUA